rnacentral:rRNA from 1 species
GACGGAGGAUGCAAGUGUUAUCCGGAAUCACUGGGCGUAAAGCGUCUGUAGGUGGUCAAAUAAGUCAACUGUUAAAUCUUGAGGCUCAACCUCAAAAUCGCAGUCGAAACUAUUAGACUAGAGUAUAGUAGGGGUAAAGGGAAUUUCCAGUGGAGCGGUGAAAUGCGUAGAGAUUGGAAAGAACACCGAAUGGCGAAGGCACUUUACUGGGCUAUUACUAACACUCAGAGACGAAAGCUAGGGUAGCAAAUAGGG